rnacentral:rRNA from 1 species
CUAGGAAUAUUGGGCAAUGGGCGAAAGCCUGACCCAGCCAUGCCGCGUGAGUGAUGAAGGUCUUCGGAUUGUAAAGCUCUUUUGUCAGGGACGAUAAUGACGGUACCUGAAGAAUAAGUAACGGCUAACUUCGUGCCAGCAGCCGCGGUGAUACGAAGGUUACUAGCGUUGUUCGGAUUUACUGGGCGUAAAGGGCACGUAGGCGGCUUGAUAAGUUAAGGGUGAAAUCCCGGGGCUUAACCUCGGAAUUGCCUUUAAGACUAUUGAGCUAGAGUUAAGUAGAGGAUAGCAGAAUUCCCAGUGUAGAGGUGAAAUUCGUAGAUAUUGGGAGGAAUACCGGUGGCGAAGGCGGCUAUCUGGACUUUUACUGACGCUGAGGUGCGAAAGCGUGGGGAGCAAACA